rnacentral:rRNA from 1 species
AUUGAACGCUGGCGGCAGGCCUAACACAUGCAAGUCGAACGAGUGGCGGACGGGUGAGUAAUGUCUGGGAAACUGCCCGAUGGCGGGGGAUAAUUACUGGAAACGGUAGCUAAUACCGCAUACCAUCAGAUGUGCCCAGAUGGGAUUAGCUAGUGGGUUGGGUAACGGCUCACCAAGGCGACGAUCCCUAGCUGGGCUGAGAGGAGGACCAGCCACACUGGAACUGAGACACGGUCCAGAUCCCUACGGGAGGCAGCAGUGGGGAGUAUUUCACAAUGGGCGCAAGCCUGAGGCAGCCAUGCCGCGUGUAUGAAGAAGGCCUUCGGGUUGUAAAGUACUUUCAGCGAGGAGGCGUUACUCGCAGAAGAAGCACCGGCUAACUCCGUGCCAGCAGCCGCGGUAAUAC